GAAAAAAGCCACCAAGAGUGUACCUACAGUGCAAAAAUGUGAAUUGCGGGUGAAAAGGAAUUCUUGAACUGAUCAACCCCAGCCCCUUUGCCCCUUCGAAGUUCAAACACGACCAUAAAUUUAUAAUGAACAUAUACCCAAAAGCUUCAACUAAUCUAAAUUCUUUUGGAAUGAAUGCUCGAGCUGUUUCUGCUUUUACAAGAUGAAGCUGAUACAAGGCACUGAAUGAACAAACAGAUCAUUAAGCAAUUUCAAUGUAUGUUACUGGUAUAUAAUGAAGUAUGGAAGAGAAAGCCGUGAGAUACAUGCCUGCCUUCAAAUAUCCAAGGAGGCUUGCCGUA
rnacentral:misc_RNA from 1 species